rnacentral:rRNA from 1 species
UCUAGCCUACGGGAGGCAGCAGUGGGGAAUAUUGCACAAUGGGGGAAACCCUGAUGCAGCGACGCCGCGUGAGUGAAGAAGUAUCUCGGUACGUAAAGCUCUAUCAGCAGGAAGAAAAAUGACGGUAGCUAAGGAGCAAGCCACGGCUAACUACGUGCCAGCAGCCGCGGUAAUACGUAGGUGGCAAGCGUUGUCCGGAAUUACUGGGUGUAAAGGGAGCGCAAGCGGGAAGCCAAGUCAGCUGUGAAAACUACGGGCUUAACUUGUAGACUGCAGUUGAAACUGGUUUUCUUGAGUGAAGUAGG